GAUAGGCACAUUACCCUGAGGAAAAAGUGUUUUUAAUGCAGUUAAAACAUAAAUGCCCCCCAGAGUUCUGCCAGUACCGCGCCUGGACCAGGACCAUCCCGCGUUUCCACCUUGACAGAACAACGCACAGGCACCAGUAAAUCAACUCAAUUGACACCAGGAUCAAAUUUCCCCACACUGAAUGAUCAUUCUGAUAAUUACUAAGGAAGGCAUGCUAUAUCCAGAGAAGAGCUGGAAAAUGUUCUCAUUUUGAAAACCACCUUUGCUGAAGCUGCUUCCAUUCUUGGAGUGAAAAAAGAAACUAAUUUGAAGAUACAUUUAUUAUUUAACCACAUAAUUAGAGACCAUCACAGAUAAAGUAAAUACAUAUGGGUAUUAUCCCUCUUGAGAGAGAACCCCUGCUUGUACUGCUUGACAAACCAGAGGAAGGCCAAGAGCUGGGAACCAACUUCAUUGCUGGUGUCCUCAAGCCAAGCUACUCUGUUUUGGGGAGUAACAGGAGAGCUAAGGAGGAGAUGACGGUGGUAAAAUUUCUGGAAUUUCUACAGUGUGUGGAAAACCAGACACAUGUACUGCAGGAUCAACUUGGCUGUUCCUGUACUGGACACAUGUUUUGGCCAGGGUAACACCAGGCCAGACUUCAGGCUGAGCAGAGAGUCUCUGGCAGUGCUGCUGGACCCCUCCACUGGGAGC